CAACAACUGAAAGGAGGUGACCAGUGUCUCAUUGUCUCCAACCGAGGUCGCAAGUCGUGACCUGGAGCCCGAAGAUCGAGGUCUCCAACUGACGGCGUUGAACGCCUAAGGUUUGAAGUCACGCCGCGACGCGGCUACGGCGAUGGAGGGUCGUCCCGAGCAAUCGGGGCGGCCC
rnacentral:sRNA from 17 species